rnacentral:rRNA from 1 species
GACGUAGGGGACGAGCGUUGUCCGGAUUUAUUGGGCGUAAAGCGCGCGUAGGCGGUUUGGUAAGUCGGAUGUGAAAUCCCGUGGCUCAACCACGGGACUGCAUCCGAUACUGCCCGACUAGAGGUAGGUAGGGGAGAUCGGAAUUCCUGGUGUAGCGGUGAAAUGCGCAGAUAUCAGGAGGAACACCGAUGGCGAAGGCAGCCUUCUGGGCCAACACUGACGCUCAUGCACGAAAGCGUGGGGAGCAAACAGG